CAGGGAAUCUUGCGCAAUGGGCGAAAGCCUGACGCAGCAACGCCGCGUGGGGGAUGAAGGCCUUCGGGUUGUAAACCCCUUUCAGGAGGGAAGAAAUUGACGGUACCUCCAGAAGAAGCACCGGCCAACUACGUGCCAGCAGCCGCGGUAAUACGUAGGGUGCAAGCGUUAUCCGGAAUCAUUGGGCGUAAAGAGCUCGUAGGCGGUUCAACAAGUCGGCUGUGAAAGUCCGAGGCUCAACCUCGGAAUUGCAGUCGAUACUGUUGUGACUCGAGUCCGGUAGAGGAGAAUGGAAUUCCCGGUGUAGCGGUGAAAUGCGCAGAUAUCGGGAGGAACACCAGUAGCGAAGGCGGUUCUCUGGGCCGGUACUGACGCUGAGGAGCGAAAGCGUGGGGAGCAAACAGGAUUAGAUACCCCCGUAGUCC
rnacentral:rRNA from 1 species